rnacentral:rRNA from 1 species
CAUAUCAAUAAGCGGAGGAAAAGAAACCAACAGGGAUUGCUCUAGUAACGGCGAGUGAAGCAGCAAUAGCUCAAAUUUGAAAUCUGGCGUCUUCGACGUCCGAGUUGUAAUUUGUAGAGGAUGCUUCUGAGUAACCACCGACCUAAGUUCCUUGGAACAGGACGUCAUAGAGGGUGAGAAUCCCGUAUGCGGUCGGAAAGGUGCUCUAUACGUAGCUCCUUCGACGAGUCGAGUUGUUUGGGAAUGCAGCUCUAAAUGGGAGGUAAAUUUCUUCUAAAGCUAAAUAUUGGCCAGAGACCGAUAGCGCACAAGUAGAGUGAUCGAAAGAUGAAAAGCACUUUGGAAAGAGAGUUAAAAAGCACGUGAAAUUGUUAAAAGGGAAGGGAUUGCAACCAGACUUGCUCGCGGUGUUCCGCCGGUCUUCUGACCGGUCUACUCGCCGCGUUGCAGGCCAGCAUCGUCUGGUGCCGCUGGAUAAGACUUGAGGAAUGUAGCUCCCUCGGGAGUGUUAUAGCCUCUUGUGAUGCAGCGAGCGCCGGGCGAGGUCCGCGCUUCGGCUAGGAUGCUGGCGUAAUGGUCGUAAUCCGCCCGUCUUGAAACACGGACCAAGGAGUCUAACAUCUAUGCGAGUGUUCGGGUGUCAAACCCCUACGCGUAAUGAAAGUGAACGGAGGUGAGAACCGCAAGGUGCAUCAUCGACCGAUCCUGAUGUCUUCGGAUGGAUUUGAGUAAGAGCAUAGCUGUUGGGACCCGAAAGAUGGUGAACUAUGCCUGAAUAGGGUGAAGCCAGAGGAAACUCUGGUGGAGGCUCGCAGCGGUUCUGACGUGCAAAUCGAUCGUCAAAUUUGGGUAUAGGG